GACGAACGCUGGCGGCACGCUUAACACAUGCAAGUCGAACGAGAGAAGAGAAGCUUGCUUUUCUGAUCUAGUGGCGGACGGGUGAGUAACACGUGAGCAAUCUGCCUUUCAGAGGGGGAUACCGAUUGGAAACGAUCGUUAAUACCGCAUAACAUAAUUGAACCGCAUGAUUUGAUUAUCAAAGAUUUAUCGCUGAAAGAUGAGCUCGCGUCUGAUUAGCUAGUUGGUAAGGUAACGGCUUACCAAGGCGACGAUCAGUAGCCGGACUGAGAGGUUGAUCGGCCACAUUGGGACUGAGACACGGCCCAGACUCCUACGGGAGGCAGCAGUGGGGAAGAUUGCACAAUGGAGGAAACUCUGAGGCAGCGAGGCCGCGUGAGGGAAGAAGGUUUUAGGAUUGUAAACCUCUGUCUUCAGGGACGAAAAAAGACGGUACCUGAGGAGGAAGCUCCGGCUAACUACGUG
rnacentral:rRNA from 1 species